UACGAAGGGGGCUAGCGUUGUUCGGAAUCACUGGGCGUAAAGCGCACGCAGGCGGAUUGAUAAGUCAGGGGUGAAAUCCCGGGGCUCAACCUCGGAAUUGCCUUUGAUACUGUCUGUCUUGAGUCCGGGAGAGGUGAGUGGAAUUCCUAGUGUAGAGGUGAAAUUCGUAGAUAUUAGGAAGAACACCAGUGGCGAAGGCGGCUCACUGGCCCGGUACUGACGCUCAUGUGCGAAAGCGUGGUGAGCAAACAGG
rnacentral:rRNA from 1 species